GACGAACGCUGGCGGCGUGGAUUAGGCAUGCAAGUCGAGCGAGAACCGUAGCAAUACGGGGACAGCGGCGAAAGGGACAGUAAUAUGUAGGUACCUACCCUCGGGUCCGGGAUAGCUGCGGGAAACUGCAGGUAAUACCGGAUGACAUCUCCGGAUCAAAGGUGUGAUUCCGCCCGGGGAGGGGCCUGCAUCCUAUUAGCUAGUUGGUGGGGUAACGGCUCACCAAGGCGACGAUGGGUAGCGGGUGGGAGAGCAUGACCCGCGUCAUUGGGACUGGGACACUGCCCAGACACCUACGGGUGGCUGCAGUCGAGAAUCUUCGGCAAUGGGGGAAACCCUGACCGAGCGACGCCGCGUGCGGGAUGAAGGCCCUCGGGUUGUAAACCGCUGUCGUAGAGGAGGAAAUGCAGGGGGGUUCUCCCCUCUGUUUGACCUAGUCUAGGAGGAAGGACGGGCUAAGUUCGUGCCAGCCGCCGCCGUAA
rnacentral:rRNA from 1 species